rnacentral:rRNA from 1 species
CCUACGGGUGGCAGCAGUGAGGAAUAUUGGUCAAUGGCCGCAGGGCUGAACCAGCCACGUCGCGUGAGGGAUGACGGUCCUAUGGAUCGUAAACCUCUUUUGUCAGGGAGCAAAGGGAGCCACGUGUGGAGUUUUGCGUGUACCUGACGUACAAGCAUAGGAAAACCCCGUGCCAGCAGCCGAGGUAAUAUGAGGGAGGCGAGGGUUAUCGGGAUUGGUUGGGUUAAAGGGGUGCGCAGGCGGAAUGUAAAGUCAGCGGUAAAAUUACGGGGCUCAACCCCGUCGUGCCGUUGAAACUGGCGGUCUUGAGUGAGCGAGAAGAAUGUGGAAUGCGUGGUGUAGCAGUGAAAUGCAUAGAUAUCACGAAGAACUCCGAUUGCGAAGGCAGCAAACCGGUGCUCAACUGACGCUCAGGCACGAAAGCGUGGGUAUCGAACAGGAUUAGAUACCCUAGUAGUC